rnacentral:rRNA from 1 species
GAUGAACGCUGGCGGCGUGCUUAACACAUGCAAGUCGAACGGGAUCCAUCAAGCCUGCUUGGUGGUGAGAGUGGCGAACGGGUGAGUAAUGCGUGACCGACCUGCCCCAUGCUCCGGAAUAGCUCCUGGAAACGGGUGGUAAUGCCGGAUGUUCCACAUGAUCGCAUGUGAUUGUGGGAAAGAUUCUAUCGGCGUGGGAUGGGGUCGCGUCCUAUCAGCUUGUUGGUGAGGUAACGGCUCACCAAGGCUUCGACGGGUAGCCGGCCUGAGAGGGCGACCGGCCACAUUGGGACUGAGAUACGGCCCAGACUCCUACGGGAGGCAGCAGUGGGGAAUAUUGCACAAUGGGCGCAAGCCUGAUGCAGCGACGCCGCGUGAGGGAUGGAGGCCUUCGGGUUGUAAACCUCUUUUGUUUGGGAGCAAGCCUUCGGGUGAGU